UUUAAAGAGGUACGCGAGCUGGGUUUAGAACGUCGUGAGACAGUUCGGUCCCUAUCUGCCGUGGGCGCUGGAGAAUUGAGGGGGGCUGCUCCUAGUACGAGAGGACCGGAGUGGACGCAUCACUGGUGUUCGGGUUGUCAUGCCAAUGGCACUGCCCGGUAGCUAAAUGCGGAAGAGAUAAGUGCUGAAAGCAUCUAAGCACGAAACUUGCCCCGAGAUGAGUUCUCCCUGAGACUUUAAGUCUCCUGAAGGAACGUUGAAGACGACGACGUUGAUAGGCCGGGUGUGUAAGCGCAGCGAUGCGUUGAGCUAACCGGUACUAAUGAACCGUGAGGCUUAACCUUACAACGCCGAAG
rnacentral:rRNA from 1 species